UUUUUACCUUGGGGAAAAUAUUUUUAACAGACCAUCUUUGUCCAAAUUGUGUAAGUACGAGUUAAAGAAAUUAUCAGCCAUCCCUAUA
rnacentral:rRNA from 1 species